CUUAGCUUCGUAUUCUCUUUGGGAAUGUCAGGCCUCUGAGCCCAAGCCAAGCCAUCGCAUCCCCUAUGACAUGCACGUACACGCCCAGAUGGCCUGAAGUAACUGAAGAAUCACAAAAGAAGUGAAUAUGCCCUGCCCCACCUUAACUGAUGACAUUCCACCACAAAAGAAGUGUAAAUGGCCAGUCCUUGCCUUAACUGAUGACAUUACCUUGUGAAAGUCCUUUUCCUGGCUCAUCCUGGCUCAAAAAGCACCCCCACUGAGCACCUUGCGACCCCCCGCUCCUACCCGCCAGAGAACAAACCCCCUUUGACUGUAAUUUUCCUUUACCUAACCAAAUCCUAUAAAACGGCCCCACCCUUAUCUCCCUUCGCUGACUCUCUUUUCGGACUCAGCCCGCCUGCACCCAGGUGAAAUAAACAGCCUCGUUGCUCACACAAAGCCUGUUUGGUGGUCUCUUCACACGGACGCGCAUGAAAUUUGGUGCCGUGACUCGGAUCGGGGGACCUCCCUUGGGAGAUCAAUCCCCUGUCCUCCUGCUCUUUGCUCCGUGAGAAAGAUCCACCUACGACCUCAGGUCCUCAGACCAACCAGCCCAAGAAACAUCUCACCAAUUUCAAAUCCGGUAAGCGGCCUCUUUUUACUCUGUUCUCCAACCUCCCUCACUAUCCCUCAACCUCUUUCUCCUUUCAAUCUUGGCGCCACACUUCAAUCUCUCCCUUCUCUUAAUUUCAAUUCCUUUCAUUCUCUGGUAGAGACAAAAGAGACAUGUUUUAUCCGUGAACCCAAAACUCCGGCGCCGGUCACGGACUGGGAAGGCAGUCUUCCCUUGGUGUUUAAUCAUUGCAGGGACGCCUCUCUGAUUUCACGUUUCAGACCACGCAGGGAUGCCUGCCUUGGUCCUUCACCCUUAGCGGCAAGUCCCGCUUUCCUGGGGCAGGGGCAAGUACCCCUCAACCCCUUCUCCUUCACCCUUAGCGGCAAGUCCCGCUUUUCUGGGGCAGGGGCAAGUACCCCUCAACCCCUUCUCCUUCACCCUUAGCAGCAAGUCCCGCUUUCCUAGGGGGCAAGAACCCCCCAAUCGCUUAUUUUCACGCCCCAACCUCUUAUCUCUGUGCCCCAAUCCCUUAUUUCCACGCCCCAAUCUCUUAUCUCUGCGCCCCAAUCCCUUAUUUCCGCGCCCCAACCCUUUCUCUGCUUUUCUGGAGGGGAAGAAACCCCCACCCCUUCUCCGUGUCUCUACUCUUUUCUCUGGGCUUGCCUCCUUCACUAUGGGCAAGCUUCCACCUUCCAUUCCUUUCUUCUCCCUUAGCAUGUAUUCUUAAGAACUUAAAAUCUCUUCAAUUCUCACCUGACCUAAAAUCUAAGCGUCUUAUUUUCUUCUGCAAUGCCACUUGACCCCAAUACAAACUCAACAGUAGUUCCAAAUAGCCAGAAAAUGGCACUUUCAAUUUUUCCACCCUACAAGAUCUAAAUAAUUCUUGGCGUAAAAUGGGCAAAUGGUGUGAGGUGCCUGACGUCCAGGCAUUCUUUUACACAUCAGUCCCUUCCUAGUCUCUGUGCCCAGUGCAACUCGUCCCAAAUCUUCCUUCUUUCCCUCCCGCCUGUCCCCUCAGUACCAACCCCAAGCGUCACUGAGUCUUUCUAAUCUUCCUUUUCUACAGACCCAUCUGACCUCUCCCUUCCUCCCCAGGCUGCUCCUUGCCAGGCCGAGCUAGGUCCCAAUUCUUCCUCAGCCUCUGCUCCUCCACCCUAUAAUCUUUUUAUCACCUCCCCUCCUCACACCUGCUCCGGCUUACAGUUUCAUUCCGUGACUAGCCCUCCCCGACCUGCCCAGCAAUUUAUUCUUAAAAAGGUGGCUGGAGCUAAACGCAUAGUCAAGGUUAAUGCUCCUUUUUCUUUAUCCCAAAUCAGAUAGUGUUUAGGCUCUUUUUCAUCAAAUAUAAAAAUCUAGCCCAGUUCAUGGCUCGUUUGGCAGCAACCCUAAGACACUUUACAGCCCUAGCCCCUAAAAGGUCAAAAGGCCAUCUUAUUCUCAAUAUACAUUUUAUUACCCAAUCUGCUCCCGACAUUAAAUAAAACUCCAAAAACUGGAAUCUGGCCCUCAAACCCCACAACAGGACUUAAUUAACCUCACCUUCAAGGUGUGAAAUAACAGAAAAAAGUUGCAAUUCCUUGCCUCCACUGUGAGACAAACCCCAGCCACAUCUCCAGCACACAAGAACUUCCAAACGCCUGAACUGUAGCAGCCAGACGUUUCUCCAGAACCUCCUCCCCCAGGAACUUGCUACACAUGCCGGAAAUCUGGCCACUGGGCCAAGGAACGCCCGCAGCCCGGGAUUCCUCCUAAGCCGCGUCCCAUCUGUGUGGGACCCCACUGAAAAUCGGACUGUUCAACUCACCUGGCAGCCACUCCCAGAGCUCCUGGAACUCUGGCCCAAGGUUCUCUGACUGACUCCUUCUUGGCUUACUGGCUGAAGACUGACGCUGCCUGAUCGCCUCAGAAGCCCCGCAGACCAUCAUGGACGCCGAGCUUUAGCCCGCCUGCACCCAGGUGAAAUAAACAGCCUUGUUGCUCACACAAAGCCUGUUUGGUGGUCUCUUCACACAGACGCGCAUGAAAGGGAAGACAUACAAAAACAAGGCCUCUGAGGUAGGUACUACUGAGACAGCCAGGUGGGAAGGACUCCUUGGCAAAACUCCAACCAGCCUGUACACUGGGAGGAAUGUGCACUGGGAUGGAGCCAUAGAAGUUUGUGUCGUUUGCAGUGGGGAGGAGCCUGGUCCCUCCUCUUCCUGUGAGGAACCUGGAAUUCAAUCUGUGAGGUUGUUCUGGAGAUGUUCUGGGGAGACUGCAUUAAACACAGCUUCGCACCAUUGAAUAAACUCAGCAACAAGCCAAUGCAUAAAAGUAAUCUAUGCUUCAGGUCACAGAAGCUUCAAGGGGAAAAAAACAGAAUACUCUAGGGCCAUUGUUCACAAACUCAUCUGAAAACAUCCUGGAAAAAUUUUCCCAAACACAUGGAAAGAAAGAGAGGAAAAAAGAAGAUAUCUGAAUAAUGUGGACUAGAAUAAAGAGCUGCCAGGAGCUGUUUAUUUAAAAACAGUACUUUCUUCUCUGGCUGAGUCCCUGGUAUUCUCUGCUGCAAUCUGUAGCUGUAGAAUUUUGAAGAAUGCAAUUAAAUUCAAAUGGUUUGAUGAGUAAUAUCUUUUCUCUUCAUAUUUGUCUAAAACUUUUCUUUAUUGAAUAGCGAGAGUGAUGAAAGUGUUUUCCAUAAUAAUAACAAUGACAAGGGCCUGAUGAUGAACUACAAUUAGCUCAGUGAUUCAUCAGUUAGCAGUGAAAUUUUCAAUGCAUCCUGACAUUUAGAGCAUUUGGUUGUGAUUAACAGUCUUUGAAAUGUCACCGAAUUUUAUUUAAUUGGCUAAGAAAAAAUUUUAAAAGGUAAUCACUGCAAAGAUCACAUUCAUCGCCAAAAAUGAUAAUUGCAGUUGUCACAUGACAAGGUAGAUGCUAACUACUGUAGCAAACUUGCUCUGUGUUCUUACAGAAUCUAAUGAAUGCAGCAGAGAUCAAGAGCUUGAAGGGGCUUAGAAGUUUAUUUGAAUGCUCCUUUCAAAGCCAUUUGUAUCAAGAACUGCAAGCCUUUAAGUCAUCUGAGCAAAUACCAAAACUGAAAUGCAGUCAUGACACUGGCUCAGGACUGAGAUCUAAACAGUCAUCUUCGUGGCAACAGGUAUUAUUGGUAAAAGAGAGUCUGGAAAUUAGGGCCUAGCCUUUCUUGAGAGGCCAGUAUAGCUGAGUAGUAAAAAGUCAAGUUUUGGAGUCAGGUGUAACUAACCCACAAUCCAAGUUAUGAACUGUGGAGUGAAUGACUCACCUGCCUGGGCUUCUGCUUGCUCACCUGCAAAAUGACAACAGCCUGCCCUACAGAGCUGCCUGCAGACCAACAGCAGCAAGGCCUUGGGAGUCUCUGCUGGUCUCCCAGCUCCUGCUUGACACCUCAAGAUGAUGUUGCUCCAUUUAGUGCCUGUUUGUUCUCAGACUAUCCCAUGCCUUCUUCCUGCAAACCACAGCUCUCAAGCUCCCCAACAGUUUGACAAGGAUCAUACAAAGGGGAAAGGAAGCAAGGAAAGAAUCAAGGUCUUUCUAAGCAAUUUCUCUACGCUCUCAGGGGAUAGGCAUUUUCUGGCCGUGACUGUGUCUCCUCCAUAGUUCCAACUUCCACAGGACAGGUCCUUCCCUCCAUAGUCACAGUUCUUCUUGGGUAGCCUCCUCCACACUUCUGAAUGGCCCAUCUGAAUGGCCACAGUGACUCGGCGCUGAUGUCACCCCUCCUGCCUGUUGUACCCCCUGCCCUAGAGAGGAGAUGCCUCCUGCUGAUGCUAAUCUGUGGAUUGCUUCAUUCUCUGGUUUCUCAGCUUUUCCAUCCCUUAUGCCAUCAAUUGCCCGAAUUAAACUCCUACUAUUUAAAAUACCUAGAGUGGUUUUUAUUUUUCUGCUUCUUAACAUCUUCACUGCUA
rnacentral:lncRNA from 1 species